rnacentral:sRNA from 1 species
UGGAAAUGAGGCUGCUCCUACGGGGUGCAA